GACGAACGCUGGCGGCGUGCUUCAUACAUGCAAGUCGAACGAGAAGCUGACUUCGGUCAGUGGAAAGUGGCGGACGGGUGAGUAAUAUGUAGGAAAUCUGCCUUUAGGAGGGGGACAACAGAGGGAAACUUCUGCUAAUACCCCAUAUGAGCGUAGCUGAAAUGCUAUUCUUGAAAACUCCGGUGCCUAAAGAUGAGCCUGCAUCUGAUUAGCUAGUUGGUAGUGUAAUGGACUACCAAGGCGACGAUCAGUAGCUGGUUUGAGAGGAUGAUCAGCCACAAUGGGACUGAGACACGGCCCAUAAUCCUACGGGAGGCAGCAGUAGGGAAUUUUGCGCAAGGGGCGAAAGCCUGAAGGAGCAACGCAGCGUGAACGAUUAAGCCCUUCGGGGUGUAAAGUUCUGUCAGUGGGGACGAAACUUGACGGUACCCACAGAGGAAGCACCGGCUAACUCCGUG
rnacentral:rRNA from 1 species